CAUGUAGGCGGUUCGGUAAGUUAAAGGUGAAAUGCCGGGCUUAACCCUGGAGCUGCUUUUAAUACUGCCAGACUCGAGUCCGGGAGAGGAUAGCGGAAUUCCUAGUGUAGAGGUGAAAUUCGUAGAUAUUAGGAGGAACACCAGUGGCGAAGGCGGCUAUCUGGUCCGGUACUGACGCUGAGGUGCGAAAGCGUGGGGAGCAAACAGGAUUAGAUACCC
rnacentral:rRNA from 1 species